GAUGAACGCUGGCGGCGUGCUUAACACAUGCAAGUCGAACGGAAAGGCCCAAGCUUGCUUGGGUACUCGAGUGGCGAACGGGUGAGUAACACGUGGGUGAUCUGCCCUGCACUUCGGGAUAAGCCUGGGAAACUGGGUCUAAUACCGGAUAGGACGAUGGGUUGGAUGCCAUUGUGGAAAGUUUUUUCGGUGUGGGAUGAGCUCGCGGCCUAUCAGCUUGUUGGUGGGGUAAUGGCCUACCAAGGCGUCGACGGGUAGCCGGCCUGAGAGGGUGUACGGCCACAUUGGGACUGAGAUACGGCCCAGACUCCUACGGGAGGCAGCAGUGGGGAAUAUUGCACAAUGGGCGCAAGCCUGAUGCAGCGACGCCGCGUGGGGGAUGACGGCCUUCGGGUUGUAAACUCCUUUCGCUAGGGACGAAGCGUUUUUGUGACGGUACCUGGAGAAGAAGCACCGGCUAACUACGUG
rnacentral:rRNA from 1 species